rnacentral:rRNA from 1 species
UACAGAGGGGGCAAGCGUUGUUCGGAAUUACUGGGCGUAAAGGCGCGUAGGCGGCCUGCUAAGUUGAACGUGAAAUCCCUGGGCUCAACCCAGGAACUGCGUCCAAGACUGGGAGGCUUGAAUCCGGGAGAGGGAUGCGGAAUUCCAGGUGUAGCGGUGAAAUGCGUAGAUAUCUGGAGGAACACCGGUGGCGAAGGCGGCAUCCUGGACCGGUAUUGACACUGAGGCGCGAAAGCCAGGGAGCAAACGGG